rnacentral:rRNA from 1 species
GACGAACGCUGGCGGCAUGCCUAACACAUGCAAGUCGAACGAGACCUUCGGGUCUAGGGGCGCACGGGGGCGUAACGCGGGGGAAGCUGCCCUUAGGUUCGGAAUAACUCCCCGAGAGGGGUGCUAAUGCCGGAGAAUGUCUUCGGACCAAAGAUCUAUCGCCAUUGGCUGGGCGCGCGUUGGAUUAGCUGGUUGGUAGGGUAAAAGCAUACCAAGGCGACGAUCCUUAGCUGGUCUGAGAGGAUGAUCCGCCACACUGGGAGUGAGACACGGCCCAGACUCCGACGGGAGGGAGGAGUGGGGAAUAUUGUACAAUGGGGGAAAGCGUGAUCACGCCAUGCCCGGUGAGUGAGGAAUGCCGUAGUGUUGUAAAGCCCUUUUACCCGGGAUGAUAAUGACAGUACCGGGAGAAUAAGCUCCGGCUAACUACGUG